rnacentral:rRNA from 1 species
UGAGCAACCUGCCCUUGGCUUCGGGAUAACUCCGGGAAACCGGGGCUAAUACCGGAUGUGACGCGCCCGCGCAUGGGGGUGUGUGGAAAGAUUUAUCGGCUGGGGAUGGGCCCGCGGCCUAUCAGCUAGUUGGUGUGGGUAAUGGCCCACCAAGGCGACGACGGGUAGCCGGCCUGAGAGGGUGACCGGCCACACUGGGACUGAGACACCGGCCCAGACCUCCGUACGGGAGGCA